GACGAACGCUGGCGGCGUGCCUAAUACAUGCAAGUAGAACGCACAGUUUAUACCGUAGCUUGCUACACCAUAAACUGUGAGUUGCGAACGGGUGAGUAACGCGUAGGUAACCUGCCUGGUAGCGGGGGAUAACUAUUGGAAACGAUAGCUAAUACCGCAUAAUAUUGAUUAUUGCAUGAUAAUUGAUUGAAAGAUGCUAUUGCAUCACUACCAGGUGGACCUGCGUUGUAUUAGCUAGUAGGUGAGGUAACGGCUCACCUAGGCGACGAUACAUAGCCGACCUGAGAGGGUGAUCGGCCACACUGGGACUGAGACACGGCCCAGACUCCUACGGGAGGCAGCAGUAGGGAAUCUUCGGCAAUGGACGAAAGUCUGACCGAGCAACGCCGCGUGAGUGAAGAAGGUUUUCGGAUCGUAAAGCUCUGUUGUAAGAGAAGAACGGGUGUGAGAGUGGAAAGUUCACACUGUGACGGUAUCUUACCAGAAAGGGACGGCUAACUACGUG
rnacentral:rRNA from 1 species